rnacentral:rRNA from 1 species
GCUUUACCGGGGUUUUUGGUUUUUGGGGGGGGCUAUCUGCAGUCGAGCGCGGGAAGCUUGUCUGAUCCCUUCGGGGUGACGCGAGUGGAACGAGCGGCGGACGGGUGAGUAACACGUGGGCAACCUACCUGUAAGACUGGGAUAACUCCGGGAAACCGGGGCUAAUACCGGAUAAUACUUUACUUCGCAUGAAGGAAAGUUGAAAGGUGGCUUUUAGCUAUCACUUACAGAUGGGCCCGCGGCGCAUUAGCUAGUUGGUAAGGUAAUGGCUUACCAAGGCAACGAUGCGUAGCCGACCUGAGAGGGUGAUCGGCCACACUGGGACUGAGACACGGCCCAGACUCCUACGGGAGGCAGCAGUAGGGAAUCUUCCGCAAUGGACGAAAGUCUGACGGAGCAACGCCGCGUGAACGAAGAAGGUUUUCGGAUCGUAAAGUUCUGUUGUUAGGGAAGAACAAGUACCGUUCGAAUAGGGCGGUACCUUGACGGUACCUAUCGAGGAAGCCCCGGCUAACUACGUGCCAGCAGCCGCGGUAAUACGUAGGGGGCAAGCGUUGUCCGGAAUUAUUGGGCGUAAAGCGCGCGUAGGCGGUUUCUUAAGUCUGAUGUGAAAUCUUGCGGCUCAACCGCAAGCGGCCAUUGGAAACUGAGGAACUUGAGUGCAGAAGAGGAGAGCGGAAUUCCACGUGUAGCGGUGAAAUGCGUAGAUAUGUGGAGGAACACCAGUGGCGAAGGCGGCUCUCUGGUCUGUAACUGACGCUGAGGUGCGAAAGCGUGGGGAGCGAACAGGAUUAGAUACCCUGGUAGUCCACGCCGUAAACGAUGAGUGCUAGGUGUUAGGGGGUUUCCGCCCCUUAGUGCUGCAGUUAACGCAUUAAGCACUCCGCCUGGGGAGUACGGCCGCAAGGCUGAAACUCAAAAGAAUUGACGGGGG